GUGAGGAAUAUUGGGCAAUGCCCGAAAGGGUGACCCAGCAACGCCGCGUGGAGGAUGAAGGUCGUAAGAUUGUAAACUCCUGUUAGAGGGGAAGAAUAACUAAGUUUGGAGCUUAGUAUGACUGUGCCCUCAGAGAAAGCCCCGGCUAACUACGUGCCAGCAGCCGCGGUAAUACGUAGGGGGCAAGCGUUGUCCGGAUUUACUGGGUGUAAAGGGCGCGCAGGCGGAAUGGAAAGUCAGUGGUGAAAUCCUACAGCUUAACUGUAGAACUGCCUUGGAUACUUUCAUUCUUGAGUUCGGGAGAGAGAGACGGAAUUCCAGGUGUAGUGGUGAAAUACGUAGAUAUCUGGAAGAACACCAGUUGCGAAGGCGGUCUCUUGGUCCGAUACUGACGCUGAGGCGCGAAAGCGUGGGGAGCAAACA
rnacentral:rRNA from 1 species